UAUAUAUAUAAGAUAUAUGUAUAUAUAUAUGAUGUUAUGUAGCUUAGAUUUUCCCACUUGGUGGCCUGUAGAUUUUUCCGGCCAAACCCAACAAGAUAAUGCACCAGCACAGAGAAGCUAAUCACAGCCCAAUCAGCAUGAGGUCUUCUGGCAGAUUCUGGCACUGCAGAAUGCAAGCCCUCAAAUGUAUUUCCAAGAACAAAACCAGUCAUUUUCUUUCUUCUCUGUGAUCACAGAUAGCCCCAAUCCCAGGAGGUGCCUGUCAAACUGCACAUAAGGGAACUGUAUUUUCUGGGAAAAAACCAAUGUGUCAGAGGCAGUGAUCACAGGAAUAACCCCUUCUUUCUCUUUUUUUGCAAAUACAAUUCAGCGUUCCCUCAUUUCUGCAGUAGCCCCUUCCCAGAUUUUAUGUUCUCAGACAAGUUUCAGCACUACCUUUUCCCUCAAGGCAAAUCCAUUGUGCCCGUCACUUUGUCAAUAUCCCUACUCCAGCCAGGUUCUAGGGGUGUUGUGUUUUGAAAGUUGCCCAUCACACAAUCUGUUGUCUGAUUCAGGAUCUGUUACACCUCCCAGGCACAUCAGUAGUCUACCUUUGUACUACAGCAAAAGCUUGAAGCGAUUAAUCAGUUGCAAAUCAAAUAUUAAAAAUGAGGAUUAAUCUCAUCACUGCAGCCCGACAGAUGCGGUUAGUGCUAAUAAAUAAACUUCAAACUUCCUGGAGACACUGUAAAGUGCAUUCUCAAUUUGCUUCUGCACCGGAUUCCUAAGAGAGAGGAGGGGAGAGCACCAUUGAUAUUCUAAGGCUGUGCUACCCAAGGAUUCAAGCAGCUGGUUCUGCUAUAUCUCACAAGAUAAAAGAUUCAGAAAUUAGAGGGGGAGAAACAUUCCGACCUGAUGCUCUCUGAUCUUCCUAACAACCCUUCAGUCUCCAUCACGUCGUGUGGGCACUGAGAUACAUGAGGCCAAAUAAAAAUAAAAUUACAACAGCUAUUAACAUGUGUGAUGGAAGGGUACAUGAAAACUCCAUAUGUUUAGUUUUUCGUAUAAUUUAAAACAGUAACAUAUUGGCCUUCAAAAUGGAACCCCCUGGCCUCUAAACUUCAAGGAUAAUGGAAGAUGCUUGCUUAGAAGAAAUCAGUCUGGAAAGCUGCAGUCAUCAGUCUCAAAGUAAUUUCUGCCAAAACUACAGUAGUCCUCCAGCAACUUAAACACAGGAAGAGAAAAAAAAAGUGCCGGGAAAAUGCUAUUUGAAAAGGUUUAUUAACAGUACAUUAGAGACCACAUAUCAAAGUUACCUGUUAGAAAACUGGUGAAAAAUACAGAGAGAUACGCACAUAUAACUCAUAUAAAAAUGGAGCAUAGUGAAUUCAACAAUACAUGAAAAACAAAAGCAAACCCACCACGAGCCAAGUAAAAUUUGAUCCAAAAAUUCUACGGAAGUACAAUAGAAAGAUCUACUGAGGUAGUUUGUUGCAGUGGUAGAGCCUCAUACCCACAUCUGACUUAGGAAUUUCAACUGUAUAAUUAAGCUACAAAAACAAAACAAUAAUAACAAAACCAAAAACUACUGUCAUUGAUGAAAGAUGGGCUCUUUAACAUAAGCCAACCCUUUCGUGAGAUUCAAUCAAAGAAACAAUGAUCUAUUCUAACAAUGGAGGAAACUUUAGCUGAGCUGUUCUCACUAAGAAACAUAAAGCCAGAAAUGGGGAUGUACAGCAAUACAAAACUUCCUCGACUUACAAUGUGAUUAUGUCCUGACAAAUCCAUUGUAAGUGGAAAACACCGUAGGUCUAAAUGAACUUAACAUACCCAACUUACUAAACAUCAUAGCUCAAACUUGCAUACCUUAAAUGUGCUCAGAACACUUCCAUUAGCCUAGAGUUGGACAAAAUCGUCCAGCACAAAGCCUGUUCCGUCAUACAUUGUUGAUAUUCCAUGUAAUUUGUUGUUUACUUUACUGAAAGUGAAAAGAGAAUGGUUGUCUGGGUGUAGAAUGGUUGUAGGUAUAGAGUUGUGAGUUGUGAUCUCAGGGCUGAGCCAGGGUGCAGAGGCUGCCAUUGCCCAGCAUGGUGACAGAGGAUCACUAAGCCUGGGAAGCAAACAAAACUCCAAGUAUGAUUUAAACAAAAUUCAAAGUAUGAUUUCUGCUGAAAACAUAUGACUUCCACCAAAAAAAUUAUGAGCUGAAUCAUCCUAAGUCAGGAAUCUUCUGUACAAUUUUCAUCUUGUUUGAUGACUUUCAACAUUAAUACCCCUUCACAUAUCCAUACUUUCGAGGACAAAAAUGAUAUGGUCACCUAGGCAUAUAAGGUAGAGAAAGCAUUUGGUAAAAUUGAGCACAUAUUCCCAACACACUUUUAAUAAAGCACAAGGAUGUCUGCAGCAUUACAUCCAAUAGUAAAUUUUGUAGGAAAAAACAAAACAAAACAGUAUACAUGUAUUGGAGAGAAAUCACCACAUUAUGGUGUAUCUACACCAAGAAAUUCUGCAUAAUCAUUAAAAGGAAGGAAACAUACCAUCACACACAAUAAUGAGAGGAAAGAUGCGAACUAAAGGGCAGAAUGAAAACUACAAUAGCAAUUUCAUCAAAGACAUGACAGGUACAUAUACAUUAACCAUUUUUAUUGAGGUACAGUUAAUUCAAAAUGUUGUGUUAGUUUCCAGUGUAUGGCAGUGAUUCUGUUAUACAUAUACAUAGAUAUAUAUAUACACAUUAUUUCCAAUUCUUCAAAGUAUAUGUUUUGUUUUUGUUUUUUAGGACCACACCUGCAGCAUAUGGAGGUUCCCAGGCUAGGGAUCAAAUCAGAGCUGUAGCUGCUGGCCUAUACCACAGUCAUAGCAACACGAGAUCAGAGCUGCAUCUGUGACCUACACCACAGUUUACAGCAAUGCCGGAUCCUUAACCCACAAAGAGAGGCCAGGAACUGAACCCACAUCCUCAUGGGUACUAGUUGGAUUCAUGAUUCUCUGAGCCACAAGGGGAACUCCCAAAGUAUGUUUUUAUAUUUAAAAUAAAAAGCAGCUAAAGAUAUUCAUUAAACCAUUAAUAGUGGUUAGCCCUGGGGAAAGAAAGUGGAGCAGCUUUCAUUUUUUACUGUAUCAGUUUCUGAAAUCUUAUUUUUUUAAAAAAACAUAUUUCUUCUGUCAUUAAAAAAAUACAUAAAUCUAGAGAAUGCGGGGUGGGGAGUGAAUUAAAAGCCACAGAAUUGGAACCAGCCCCAGAGAGGUCAUCUAGGAAAAACUAUGUCCAUCUCCAUCAAAGAAGAAAGGCAUCCUUUUUAUGAAGACUUUAGAGAAGAAGAUGGCACACCUCCUGGAGAACCUAGUCAAUGGUUAUACCACCUGAACAGUGAGAAAAAGAUCCUUCCUUUUAUCUACCCUCCACCCCUCAUUCUCAGCUCAGAGCCCAAUCCUUUUGUUCUUUCCUCAGGAGUUAUAGAAAACAGAUGGUCACACCAUGCUUUGAAUUUGUCAAUGAAUCACACAAAACCAACAGUGUUUUUCUGGAGGGACAAUAUUGUGUUCUACAGCACAGAAUGACAUCUCCCAAUGUGCUCCUCGCACAGUAACUUACCAGACUUCAUUACUAAUGAGCCAUUCAAAGGGUUUUUAACAGAUGUAUUUAACUCAAUUCAACAAAUAUUAAUUGUCUCCUCCGCACUUGGUAUUUUAUCAUGAGCUGCUAAAUAAGGUGAGGAGAGAGAAAUUUUACGACUUGUUAAAAAUUUGCUAUUUUAUUUUGUCUUUCUUCUUAAACUUUUUUGGACAUUUACUCUUUGCCAGCAAGGUCAUAUAAGCUUUAGCAAGGUCAGCACUGAUGUUCUGGCCAGGGCAUAGGCAAGUUGGAACCAGAAAGACCAAGAGAGAGGCUUCCAAGGUCAUCACAAAUCCAGUGGUGACAGCAGGGUUAAGGUUAGGGACCCAGAUAUAUCAAAGAAGACCUGAUCUGGCUUGAUGACAGACUAGCAAAAUUUGGUAGUCUCAUCAACAGCAAGAGAGGUUCAUUCCAGUAAUUGAUAUAAACUGGGAAGAAAAAUGAUGGAUUCGAGAAUUCUUAAGUUAAUAGAGAAAAAAAAAAAGGUUAGUAUCCGGAAAAAGGAAGGCAGUUUAAAAAGCCAAAGUUGGACCCCAGAUUUUUAAUUUAGGAAAGGGACUCACCGUGUUAGGUUACCUCUGCACUUUCUACACCUCACAGCUUUCUGCAGUUAGCAUGAAAGUUUGGUGGCAACUUCACCACUUGGUCUUACUCUUUUAUAUCCAUAUCAAAAGGUAAAACUUGGAGUUCCCAUCAUGGCUCAGUGGUAAUGAACCUGACCAGUAUCCUUGAAGAUUCAGGUUUGACCCUUGGCCUCGCUCAGUGGGUUAAAGGAUCCAGUGUUGCCAUGAGCUAUGAUGUAGGUGGCAGGCUGCAGCUCCAAUUCAACCCCUAGCCUUGGAAUUUCCAUAAUCCAGGGGUGGGGGCAAAAAAAAGGGAAAAAAAAAAAAAAAAAAAAAAAAAAAAAAAAAAAAAAAAGGUAAAACUUCAUAUACCAAGUGACCCACUCCUGCCUAAUCCAAAUCCACUAAGGAAUGAACUAAAGAAGAGACACUGCUGCAUGUGAGGACAAAAAUUGAGCAUUAUUCACCACUGGUAGGUUGUGUUUCCUCCCUCAAAAAAUAAAUAAAUAAAUAAAUAGUAAAAAAAAUUAACUAUUCAUGCUGCAAAGUUGGUAGUAUUUUUGUAUUUUCUUUAAGUAACCACCCU
rnacentral:lncRNA from 1 species